GACGAACGCUGGCGGCGUGCCUAAUACAUGCAAGUCGAACGAGAGCGACCGGUGCUUGCACUGGUCAAUCGAGUGGCGAACGGGUGAGUAACACGUGGGUAACCUGCCCAUCAGAGGGGGAUAACAUCCGGAAACGGAUGCUAAAACCGCAUAGGUCUUCGAACCGCAUGGUUCGAAGAGGAAAAGAGGCGCAAGCUUAUGCUGAUGGGAGGACCCGCGGGGGAUUAGCUAGUUGGUGGGGUAACGGCUCACCAAGGCCGUGAUGCAUAGCCGGCCUGAGAGGGUGAUCGGCCACAUUGGGACUGAGACACGGCCCAAACUCCUACGGGAGGCAGCAGUGGGGAAUUUUCCGCAAUGGGCGCAAGUCUGACCCAGCAAUGCCGCGUGCGUGAAGAAGGCUUUCGGAUCGUAAAGCGCUGUUGUUAGGGAAGAAAUACUGUUAGCGUAUAUCUUAGCGCGAUGACGGUACCUGAAGAAAAAGCCACGGCUAACUACGUG
rnacentral:rRNA from 1 species